UUGCUUUUAGAAGCACAUGUGCUAAAAUUGGAAUGAUACAGGGAAGACUAGCAUAGCCUCCACACAAGGAUGACAUGCAAAUUCAUUAAGCAUUCCAUACUUAA